rnacentral:rRNA from 1 species
GUCUAUGGCCAUGCUACCUUGAACAAGCCCGAUCCCAUCUGAUCUCGGAAGCUAAGCAGGGUCGGGGGCCUGGUUAGUACUUGGAUGGGAGAUCACCUAGGAAGACCAGGUACUGUAGGCA